CCCUUAGAUGUCCUGGGCCGCACGCGCGCUACACUGAGUGUCUGAGAUACGAGUCUGCCUGGUCCGGCAAGGUCUAGGUAAUCGCUAAAAGACACAUCAUGCUUGGGAUAGAUUAUUGCAAAUAUUAAUCUUGAACGAGGAAUUCCUAGUAAGCGCAAGUCAACAGCUUGCGUUGAUUACGUCCCUGCCCUUUGUACACACCGCCCGUCGCUACUACUGAUUGGGUGUGCUGGUGAAAUGUUCGGAUCGGCCGUUUGUCGCGGUUUCCGCGUCAUGUGGCUGAGAAGUUCAUUAAACCCUCCCACCUAGAGGAAGGAGAAGUCGUAACA
rnacentral:rRNA from 1 species